rnacentral:rRNA from 1 species
GAUGAACGCUGGCGGCGUGCCUAACACAUGCAAGUCGAACGGAGAGACGCGGAGCUUUUUCGUGUGAGGGUAGCGGCGGACGGGUGGGUAACAACUGGAUAGCAACCUUCUACGUCUUGGUUGAUAACGGGAAGCCAGUGUGGAUAAUACGGAACAUGCUGAACCGGUUGGAUCAAGGGUCAAGGACAGAUUUGGUGUCAGUGAGAGAUGGGUUCGCGCCGCAUUAGCUAGUUGGUAGGGUAACGGCUUACCAAGGCAACGAUGCGUAGCCGACCUGAGAGGAUGAUCGGCCACACUGGAACUGAGACACGGUCCAGAAUCCUACGGGAGGCAGCAGUAGGGAAUAUUAGGCAAUGGGCGAAAGCCUGAUGGAGCAACGCCGCGUGGGUGAAGAAGGUCUUCGGAUCGUAAAGCUCUUUUAUUGGGAAAGAAGAAAUGUGGAAGUAUUUAUGGGUGUCUUGACGGUACCUAAAGAAAAAGCGCCGGCUAACUACGUG